AUUGAACGCUGGCGGCAGGCCUAACACAUGCAAGUCGAGCGGAUGAAGGGAGCUUGCUCCUGGAUUCAGCGGCGGACGGGUGAGUAAUGCCUAGGAAUCUGCCUGGUAGUGGGGGAUAACGUCCGGAAACGGGCGCUAAUACCGCAUACGUCCUGAGGGGGAAGUGGGGGGUCUUUCGAACUUACGGCUAUCGGUUAACCCUAGGUCGGAUUAGCUAGUUGGUGGGGUAAAGGCCUACCAAGGCGACGAUCCGUAACUGGUCUGAGAGGAUGAUCAGUCACACUGGAACUGAGACACGGUCCAGACUCCUACGGGAGGCAGCAGUGGGGAAUAUUGGACAAUGGGCGAAAGCCUGAUCCAGCCAUGCCGCGUGUGUGAAGAAGGUCUUCGGAUUGUAAAGCACUUUAAGUUGGGAGGAAGGGCAGUAAGUUAAUACCUUGCUGUUUUGACGUUACCAACAGAAUAAGCACCGGCUAACUUCGUG
rnacentral:rRNA from 1 species